UACGGGGGGAGCAAGCGUUGUUCGGAUUUACUGGGCGUAAAGGGCGCGUAGGCGGCGUGACAAGUCACUUGUGAAAUCUCCGGGCUUAACUCGGAGCGGUCAAGUGAUACUGUCGUGCUAGAGUGCGGAAGGGGCUACUGGAAUUUUCGGUGUAGCGGUGAAAUGCGUAGAUAUCGAGAGGAACACCUGCGGCGAAGGCGGGUAGCUGGGCCGACACUGACGCUGAUGCGCGAAAGCCAGGGGAGCGAACGGG
rnacentral:rRNA from 1 species